CGCAUGGUGGGUGUUGGAAAGAUUUAUCGGUUUUGGAUGGACUCGCGGCCUAUCAGCUUGUUGGUGAGGUAAUGGCUCACCAAGGCGACGACGGGUAGCCGGCCUGAGAGGGUGACCGGCCACACUGGGACUGAGACACGGCCCAGACUCCUACGGGAGGCAGCAGUGGGGAAUAUUGCACAAUGGGCGCAAGCCUGAUGCAGCGACGCCGCGUGAGGGAUGACGGCCUUCGGGUUGUAAACCUCUUUCAGUAGGGAAGAAGCGAAAGUGACGGUACCUGCAGAAGAAGCACCGGCUAACUACGUGCCAGCAGCCGCGGUAAUACGUAGGGUGCGAGCGUUAUCCGGAAUUAUUGGGCGUAAAGAGCUCGUAGGCGGUUUGUCGCGUCUGUCGUGAAAGUCCGGGGCUUAACCCCGGAUCUGCGGUGGGUACGGGCAGACUAGAGUGCAGUAGGGGAGACUGGAAUUCCUGGUGUAGCGGUGGAAUGCGCAGAUAUCAGGAGGAACACCGAUGGCGAAGGCAGGUCUCUGGGCUGUAACUGACGCUGAGGAGCGAAAGCAUGGGGAGCGAACAGGAUUAGAUACCCUGGUAGUCCAUGCCGUAAACGUUGGGCACUAGGUGUGGGG
rnacentral:rRNA from 1 species